GACGAACGCUGGCGGCGUGCUUAACACAUGCAAGUCGAACGAUGAAGCCGGAGCUUGCUCUGGUGAAUUAGUGGCGAACGGGUGAGUAACACGUGAGUAACCUGCCCUUGACUCUGGGAUAACUGCGGGAAACUGUAGCUAAUACCGGAUACGACCCUCGGAGGCAUCUCCUGGGGGUGGAAAGAAUUUCGGUCAAGGAUGGACUCGCGGCCUAUCAGCUAGUUGGUGAGGUAAAGGCUCACCAAGGCGACGACGGGUAGCCGGCCUGAGAGGGUGACCGGCCACACUGGGACUGAGACACGGCCCAGACUCCUACGGGAGGCAGCAGUGGGGAAUAUUGCACAAUGGGCGCAAGCCUGAUGCAGCAACGCCGCGUGAGGGAUGACGGCCUUCGGGUUGUAAACCUCUUUUAGCAGGGAAGAAGCGAAAGUGAUGGUACCUGCAGAAAAAGCACCGGCUAACUACGUGCCAGCAGCCGCAGUAA
rnacentral:rRNA from 1 species